rnacentral:rRNA from 1 species
AUGCAGUCGAGCGAAUGGAUUGAGAGCUUGCUCUCAAGAAGUUAGCGGCGGACGGGUGAGUAACACGUGGGUAACCUGCCCAUAAGACUGGGAUAACUCCGGGAAACCGGGGCUAAUACCGGAUAAUAUUUUGAACUGCAUGGUUCGAAAUUGAAAGGCGGCUUCGGCUGUCACUUAUGGAUGGACCCGCGUCGCAUUAGCUAGUUGGUGAGGUAACGGCUCACCAAGGCAACGAUGCGUAGCCGACCUGAGAGGGUGAUCGGCCACACUGGGACUGAGACACGGCCCAGACUCCUACGGGAGGCAGCAGUAGGGAAUCUUCCGCAAUGGACGAAAGUCUGACGGAGCAACGCCGCGUGAGUGAUGAAGGCUUUCGGGUCGUAAAACUCUGUUGUUAGGGAAGAACAAGUGCUAGUUGAAUAAGCUGGCACCUUGACGGUACCUAACCAGAAAGCCACGGCUAACUACGUGCCAGCAGCCGCGGUAAUACGUAGGUGGCAAGCGUUAUCCGGAAUUAUUGGGCGUAAAGCGCGCGCAGGUGGUUUCUUAAGUCUGAUGUGAAAGCCCACGGCUCAACCGUGGAGGGUCAUUGGAAACUGGGAGACUUGAGUGCAGAAGAGGAAAGUGGAAUUCCAUGUGUAGCGGUGAAAUGCGUAGAGAUAUGGAGGAACACCAGUGGCGAAGGCGACUUU